AUGCCAGCAGGACACUUUUUGGCCAACUGUUUGUAUCUUUCCGAAGCUUCAUAGAAGGAUUCACCAUCUUUUUGUUUGAAGGUUUGAACAUCCAUUCUAAGCUU